rnacentral:rRNA from 1 species
UACGAAGGGUGCAAGCGUUACUCGGAAUUACUGGGCGUAAAGCGUGCGUAGGUGGUUUGUUAAGUCUGAUGUGAAAGCCCUGGGCUCAACCUGGGAACGGCAUUGGAAACUGGCUUACUAGAGUGCGGUAGAGGGGUGUGGAAUUCCCGGUGUAGCAGUGAAAUGCGUAGAUAUCGGGAGGAACAUCUGUGGCGAAGGCGACACCCUGGACCAGCACUGACACUGAGGCACGAAAGCGUGGGUAGCAAACAGG